AUUCCGUCAUUGAAAAAGCAGACACUCUCACUAACACGCCCAUAGUUUCUCUCUCGCUCGUAUGUCGCCGGAGCUGAGGCUUCCGUAAACGUUAUCCGGCUGGAGAAUACGGUUAUUUUGUUUCUGAAUUCCCGAAAUGGAGAGUCUCUAGGAUUUUCUUAAGCAAAAGCGUGUUCCAUUUUUGACAAGAAGAGAUGUCUCGGCAAACGCCAUCGUCUCAUUUUCUUAAAUCGAAGACUCUCGAUAACAAAUAUAUGCUUGGAGAUGAGAUUGGAAAAGGAGCGUAUGGUCGAGUGUAUAAAGGUUUGGAUUUGGAGAAUGGGGAUUUUGUUGCAAUUAAACAAGUUUCCUUGGAGAAUAUUGCCCAAGAGGAUCUUAAUAUCAUCAUGCAAGAGAUAGAUUUACUGAAGAAUUUGAACCAUAAAAACAUUGUGAAAUAUCUCGGAUCAUCGAAGACAAAGACUCAUCUUCACAUAAUCCUUGAGUAUGUUGAGAAUGGCUCGCUUGCAAACAUUAUCAAGCCAAAUAAAUUCGGGCCUUUUCCAGAGUCUUUGGUGGCUGUUUACAUUGCCCAGGUUCUGGAAGGAUUAGUUUAUUUGCAUGAACAGGGUGUUAUCCAUCGAGAUAUCAAGGGUGCAAACAUAUUGACGACCAAAGAGGGCCUUGUGAAACUUGCUGAUUUUGGUGUUGCAACAAAAUUAACUGAAGCUGAUGUUAAUACACAUUCAGUUGUUGGAACGCCAUAUUGGAUGGCCCCAGAGGUUAUUGAAAUGUCAGGGGUUUGUGCCGCUUCUGACAUCUGGAGUGUUGGCUGCACCGUGAUUGAACUUCUUACAUGUGUACCACCUUACUAUGAUUUGCAGCCAAUGCCAGCUCUCUUUCGUAUUGUUCAGGAUGAUAAUCCUCCGAUACCUGAUAGCUUAUCUCCUGACAUUACAGACUUUCUGCGCCAGUGCUUCAAGAAGGAUGCUACGCAGCGGCCCGAUGCAAAAACACUACUUUCUCAUCCUUGGAUACUGAAUUCUAGGCGUGCAUUGAACUCUUUCCGUCAUAGUGGAUCAAUAAGAAGCAUACAGGAAGAUGUUUCAGUCGAUGCGGUAAUUUUAAAUGGAGAUAAUCAGAGUACUGGCCAAAUUAGUUCUGUGGAUAAAACAGAAGCUUCUGUUGCUGAUUUUGAAGCUGUUUCCAGGAAAGAAUUAUUGACAGUGUCUGAUGAUGUCAGUAAGUCUUGUAAGGAUAAUUCCUCAAAUGAUGAAGUCGAGGAAAGAGCUGAUAAAUUAGACAAUGAUCUCCAUUCAGAUCAAGUCCCGACCCUAGCUAUUCAUGAAAAUUCAUCUCUCAAAACUAGUUCUGGCAGACUAUCUAUGAAUAAAGUAGCUGCUGCUUGUGCUCCGCUUCAUGGGUCAGCACAUAUGCAUGACCAGGAUCAGGCUCUGAGUAAUUGUGACAUGGAAUCUCCUGAUGCAAGAGGGAAAAACAUAGAUAGAAGGGAUGGGGGAAAAACAAAUUCUACUCAUGUUGAGAAUGGAUCAUUUGGUUUUGCAACAAGAAGUCAAGAUAAUGGGCUUCAAAAGGCUGUGAAGACAUCAAUGAACUUGGGAGGAAAUGAGCUCAGUAAAUUUAGUGACACUCCAAGAGAUGCUUCACUGGAUGAUUUAUUUCAUCCCCUCAAUAAAAAUCCAGAGGAUCGGGCAGCUGAAGCCUCAACAUCUGCCUCAACAUCACAUAUGAACCAAGGGAAUGCUGUUGUGGCUGAUGCAGGGAAAAAUGAUCUGGCUACAAGGUUGAGAGCUACAAUUGCUCAAAAACAAAUGGAGAAUGAAAUGGGGAAGACAAACGGUGGUGGUGAUUUGUUUAGCCUAAUGAUGGGUGUUCUGAAGGAUGGUGUGAUUGAUAUUGAUGGUUUGGUUUUUGAUGAAAAAUUGCCUCCAGAAAAUCUCUUUCCUCUCCAGGCUGUUGAGUUUAGCAGGUUAGUUGGGUCGUUAAGACCUGAGGAAUCAGAAGAGGUGAUUGUAUCUGCAUGCCAGAAACUUAUUAGCAUCUUUCACCAGCGCCCUGAGCAGAAAAUUGUUUUUAUUACCCAGCAUGGAUUGCUUCCUCUAAUGGAAUUACUUGAAGUUCCUAAAACUCGUGUUAUAUGUUCUGUCCUCCAACUUAUAAAUCAGAUUGUGAAAGAUAAUACCGAUUUCCAGGAAAAUGCAUGUCUUGUUGGCCUGAUCCCUGUGGUCAUGGGUUUUGCUGGACCUGAUCGCCCCCGUGAGGUUCGCAUGGAGGCAGCUUAUUUCUUGCAGCAGCUAUGCCAGUCAAGCUCGUUGACAUUGCAAAUGUUCAUUGCUUGCCGUGGAAUACCUAUCCUGGUGGGUUUUCUAGAGGCUGAUCAUGCUAAGUACAGGGACAUGGUUCACCUAGCUAUUGAUGGCAUGUGGCAGGUCUUUAAGCUUCAGAGAUCAACCCCAAGAAAUGAUUUCUGUCGCAUAGCUGCGAAAAAUGGAAUACUGUUCAGACUUAUCAACACUCUUUAUAGCUUGAAUGAGGCAACUAGGCUAGCUUCAAUAUCCAUGGGAACUGGAUUCCCACUAGAUGGUUUAGCUCAACGACCACGAUCUGGUCCCUUGGAUUUCAAUCAUCCUAUUUUCAUUCAGAGCGAGCCACCACUUUCUGCAUCUGAUCAGCCUGAUAUCCUUAAAUUUAGGCAUGGAAUGAUCGAUCAUCCCUUGCCUUCUGUGACACAAGAACCAUCACGUGCUUCAACUUCACAUUCCCAAAGGCUGGAUGCCAUUCAACCAGAUGCCAGAUAUCUUGGGACAGACACUGAUGGGCCUCAAUCUAGUAAUGAAGCAAUCGAAGCUACAGUUGCUUCCAAGUUGCCAGAUCCAGCAGCUUUAGGAAAAGCUGCAAAUAUGGGUAUCAAAGAACCUCCAGGAAUUGCUUCUAAAGAGCGGGAUAACUUGGAUCGGUGGAAAAGUGAUCCAUCACGCCCAGAAACUGAACUUAGGCAGCAGCGAGUCACUGGUUCCACGCAAAGGACAUCUACUGAUAGGCCUCCAAAGUUGAUAGAAAGUGCAUCAAACGGUCUUACUUCUGUGGUAUCUGCUCAGCCAGAGCAAGUUCGUCCUCUUCUAAGCUUGCUGGAGAAGGAACCCCCUUCUAAGCAUUUCUCUGGUCAGUUGGAGUAUGCACGUCACCUCUCAGGGUUGGAGAGACAUGAAAGUAUACUGCCUUUAUUACAUGGAUCUGAGAAGAAAACAAAUGGUGAAUUGGAUUUUCUGAUGGCAGAGUUUGCAGAGGUUUCUGGGCGUGGAAGAGAAAAUGGAAAUCUAGACUCCAUGCCUAGAAUUUCACAUAAAACAGUGAGUAAGAAGGUUGGACCAGUUGCACCUAAUGAAGGAGCUGCUUCCACAUCUGGUAUUGUAUCUCAAACAGCAUCUGGUGUAUUGUCUGGUUCGGGUGUUCUAAAUGCUAGACCUGGGAGUGCAACAUCAUCUGGGUUACUUUCCCAGAUGGUAUCAGCAGAGGUUGCGAGGGAAUACCUGGAGAAAGUGGCGGACCUUCUGCUCGAGUUUUCUCAAGCUGACACAACUGUAAAAUCCUACAUGUGUAGCCAAAGCUUGCUUAGCCGUCUUUUUCAGAUGUUCAAUAGAAUUGAGCUCCCUAUUCUUUUAAAGAUACUUAAGUGUAUCGAUAAUCUGUCAACUGACCCAAACUGCUUAGAGAAUCUUCAGCGAGCAGAUGCAAUUAAGUACUUGAUUCCAAAUCUUGAACUCAAAGAUGGACCUCUUGUAGAUCAAAUUCAUAGUGAGGUCCUCAAUGCACUUUUUAACCUCUGCAAGAUAAAUAAGAGGAGACAGGAACAAGCUGCUGAAAAUGGAAUCAUUCCACACUUAAUGAAUUUUAUUAUGUCUGAUUCUCCUUUGAAAUCGCAUGCAUUACCUCUACUGUGUGACAUGGCUCAUGCAUCACGUAAUUCAAGAGAACAAUUAAGGGCCCAUGGUGGAUUGGAUGCAUACUUGAGCCUACUUGAUGAUGUGGUUUGGUCAGUGACAGCACUAGAUUCAAUUGCUGUUUGCUUGGCUCAUGACAAUGACAACCACAAAGUGGAACAGGCAUUGCUAAAAAAGGAUGCAGUUCAGAAAUUAGUGAAGUUUUUCCAAUGCUGCCCCGAACAACAAUUUGUGCAUAUAUUGGAGCCAUUCUUGAAAAUUAUCACGAAAUCAUCCCGGAUAAAUACAACUUUAGCUGUUAAUGGCUUGACACCUCUGCUCAUUGCAAGACUGGAUCAUCAAGAUGCCAUAGCUCGUCUUAAUCUGCUCAAACUAAUAAAGGCUGUGUAUGAGCACCACCCACGUCCAAAGCAAUUGAUCGUGGAGAAUGACUUGCCCCAAAAACUUCUGAACUUGAUCGAGGAACGUAGGGACGGGCAAAGCUCCGGAGGCCAAGUGUUAGUGAAACAAAUGGCUACUUCGCUACUUAAAGCACUUCAUAUAAACACUGUUCUGUAAAUUCGUGUCUCACAGUUUCUUUUCAAAAUGUACAUGGUUUUUUAGGAAAUUUUAUUUGUUAGAUUUUUUCCCCAUUAAAAAUAUGGUUUGCUUGUGUGUGUAUGCUUGCAAUCAUGUGGAUGCAACAAGUUUUAGGAGGGUGUUCUACUUAUCCAGGAGGUCUCAGAAACUCGAGAGUUCCAAAGGGUGGCUGUCUUUUUGCAUUAGCGAGCUACCAGGAUUUCUUCCGUGGAAUAAUUUGACUGCUCAAAGUGGCUAUAACAGCUGCUUUUUAUAUGGUGGCCUCUCUCACGUAAUUGUCUCGUGCCCCCCACCCCCAACUUGCUUUUGCGAUCUAGUUUUUAACAUUUGGGAUUUUUACUGGGUCCUGGGUGGGUGAUGCAGGAGGUUGAAGUUCUCAGGGAAUUUUUUUUUUUUAAUUUAGAAAAUUAAGUAAUAUAUUUAAUAAUUUUGUUUUUUCUAGUUUAUUUUGAACUUUUAUUUUUAGAUAUUUAAGUUUGUUUUGGUUGGAUUUUGAGUCAAUUUAAGGAGUUGUAAAUCUCUUAAGAGAUAGACUCCUUGAAGAUAAAUAUUUAAUAGCAAAAUUAUAAAUUUCAUCA